UUCUUAAAAAAGAAAUAAAUACUUUUAUUUUGUGGUCACAGAUAUAAGUGUCUGGUGCCUUUCAGUAGCGCAUUCAGCAGUCACUGGAAAUGGGUUUGUUCUGUGCAUCAAUUACAAGUAACAAAUGACACGGGUUAAAAUUGUUAAUUUUACAAUUCUUAUCAGAGUUCAGGUGAGGUUUGUUGUAGCAACAUCCCAAAUGUAGCUGAAUGGAUAAACUUUCUGACGGUAACAGAUCGUCAUUCAGUAGUCUUCAUACUUGCUUGUCUUAAGGUUGACGAGCGAUGCCCUGAGAGUUAAAGAAAGAUCUGCACUUUUAAAAGGGGGGGAAUGCACAUAAACGAGUUCAUAGCGUUUCUUUUACUGCCUUGAGUAGAAGCUGAGCUGCAGAUCUUCCUGCAGGGUUUUUUCCUGAACUGCUUACUGCAAAAAGUCAAAGUUCAAGUGUCCCAAUGACUCUUCAACUGCGUGGCGAUGGUUCCUGAUUGACUUACAGGGCUAUAAACUGAAAAAAGCCCAAGCAAACCCAAAAGCUUUUGUAACUGAUGUGCUGGGAGCAACUCAGAAAUUGCCAGACAAAACUUACUGAUAAGAAUGUGCAAACAUGCCAAAGAACUGAAGAAUAAUUCCGGAAUUGAGAAACCGAGUAUAGUUUUCCUAGUUGCUUCCUGGUUCAAGUUCCAUCUUUCUUAAUACAGCUGAAUAAAGUUAAAACUGCUGUUUGUUAUAUGCACAGUGGUAAAAACUACACCAUUUAGAUAAACUCCGUGUUGAAAUGAUUAUUUUCCUUAAAGUAACUAGCAUUUUCUCAGUCCCGUAUCAUGUGCGAUCACAAAACAGAUGUGCAAAUAUAAAUCAACCACGAGGAGUAAUUUAAAUCCUAACAAUGAACUGAUUCUUCACAUGCAAAAGCUUGUACAGAGGAGCAGCUUUAUAGCAUAACCUGGGAAGAGCAGGAUAAAAACCAAACAUCGUGUUGUAGCAAGCCAGCCCAGUUCAGCAGAGCACUCGUGUGGGUUUGUGUGACAUUAAACACAUCAGGAUUCUCGAACCGCUGCAUCCGAAUGCUGUGUAAGCGACUGGAUCACCCUCAGGGACAGGCACACAUUCCCAAAGUCAUCAAGGCAGAAACUGAACUGCAGAGCUACCCAUUUGCUAAAACACGUUACACUGUGAACUCGUUUUCUCUGCCAAGAAGCAGGGAGCUGCCUGUUAUCAUGGCUGAACUCCUUCUGGAAUCUCAUCAUUCUCAGUUGGAAACUAGAACACCUACUUUUACCCACCACUGCAGCACGUGGUCCUGUCCCACCCUAAGCUCACCCAAGAGCAGCCGGAAGCAAGCUGACAGGCUUCUCUUUUAAGGGUCUGGGCCCCUGCUCGAGAUUGCUGCCUCUGCUUUUGUACAGUCACUCUAAAAAAUAAAGCAUCAUAACACAGAGUUAUUUUGAAGGGACUGCACUUAGGAAGCUCACCCAUGCAUAGAUACACUCACGAGGCCAGAUUCUAGACUGUCUGGGGAGCUGAGGUUCUUUCACCUGGAGAGGAACAUCUCCCACCUCCAAAACAUGCACUAUGU
rnacentral:lncRNA from 1 species